UUUGAGCCUCUCGCUUUCGGCGCCUCCUUCGGGGGGUGAAACGGGAAUGCGGUGAGAUCGGUUGCGAUCAAAUCCGCGGCUGCCCCGCAACUGUGAGCGGCGAGCCUGUCUCUCCACGCGCCACUGGCCCGCUGCGGCUGGGAAGGCGGAGCGAGGCGUCCGAGCCGCGAGCCAGGAGACCGGCCGGAAGCGCGUUUUCGCU
rnacentral:ncRNA from 2 species